rnacentral:rRNA from 1 species
UACAGAGGGUGCAAGCGUUAAUCGGAAUUACUGGGGGUAAAGAGCUCGUAGGUGGUUUGUCGCGUUGUUCGUGAAAACUCACAGCUUAACUGUGGGCGUGCGGGCGAUACGGGCAGACUGGAGUACUGCAGGGGAGACUGGAAUUCCUGGUGUAGCGGUGGAAUGCGCAGAUAUCAGGAGGAACACCGGUGGCGAAGGCGGGUCUCUGGGCAGUAACUGACGCUGAGGAGCGAAAGCGUGGGGAGCGAACAGG